rnacentral:rRNA from 2 species
UGACACAGCGACACCGCGUGGGGGAUGAAGGCCUUCGGGUUGUAAACCCCUUUUCUCAGGGAAGAAUAAUGACGGUACCUGAGGAAUAAGCCUCGGCUAACUACGUGCCAGCAGCCGCGGUAAUACGUAGGAGGCGAGCGUUAUCCGGAUUUACUGGGCGUAAAGAGGGCGUAGGCGGUUCUUCAAGUCGGAUGUGAAAUCUCCCGGCUUAACCGGGAGGGGUCAUUCGAUACUGUUGGGCUAGAGGACAGCAGAGGGAGGUGGAAUUCCCGGUGUAGUGGUGAAAUGCGUAGAUAUCGGGAGGAACACCAGUGGCGAAGGCGGCCUCCUGGGCUGUUUCUGACGCUGAGGCCCAAAAGCGUGGGGAGCGAACAGGAUUAGAUACCCUGGUAGUCCACGCCGUAAACUAUGGACACUAGGUAUGGGGAGUAUCGACCCUCUCUCGUGCCGAAGCUAACGCUUUAAGUGUCCCACCUGG